rnacentral:miRNA from 1 species
UGUGUGUAUGUGUGUGUGUGUGUGUGUAUGUAUGUAGAUAUGUAUAUCUACAUACAUACACACACACACACACACAUAUA